CCCUUAGACGUUCUGGGCCGCACGCGCGCUACACUGACACAGGCAACGAGCUUUCCUUUACCGAAAGGUAUGGGUAAUCUUUUGAGACUGUGUCGUGCUGGGGAUAGAUCCUUGCAAUUUUUGAUCUUAAACGAGGAAUUCCUAGUAAGCGCGAGUCAUCAACUCGCGUUGAUUACGUCCCUGCCCUUUGUACACACCGCCCGUCGCUACUACCGAUUGAAUGGCUUAGUGAGGCCUCAGGAUCCGCGCUUAAUGUGUGGAGAAUUUGGACAAACUACGUCAUUUAGAGGAAGUAAAAGUCGUAACA
rnacentral:rRNA from 1 species